AGGAGGACUGAGAAGGUUGAGCAGCUUCUGUUGUGCUGCUAUAACUGGUUAUAGCCUCCAAGAGUAAUUUACAAACCGCAUUUACCAGUUUUGUGAAAACAAAGCUGACAUGUGUGUUUGUGAACAAAAC